rnacentral:rRNA from 1 species
GACGAACGCUGGCGGCGUGCUUAACACAUGCAAGUCGAACGGAAAGGCCCGGCUUUUGUGGGGUGCUCGAGUGGCGAACGGGUGAGUAACACGUGAGUAACCUGCCCUUGACUUUGGGAUAACUUCAGGAAACUGGGGCUAAUACCGGAUAGGAGCUCCUGCAGCACGGUGGGCGUUGGAAAGAUUCGGCGGUUGGGGAUGGACUCGCGGCUUAUCAGCUUGUUGGUGGGGUAGUGGCUUACCAAGGCUUUGACGGGUAGCCGGCCUGAGAGGGUGACCGGCCACAGUGGGACUGAGAUACGGCGCAGACGCCAACGGGAGGCAGGAGUGGGGAAUAUUGCGGAAUGGGCGGAAGCCGGAGGCAGCAAGCUCGCGUGCGGAAUGACUGCUUUCUGGUUGGAAACCGCUGUGGCCUGUGACGAAGCGUGAGUGACGGUAAUGAUUAAAGAAGCACCGGCUAACUACGUG